CCUACGGGUGGCAGCAGUGAGGAAUAUUGGUCAAUGGCCGGAAGGCUGAACCAGCCAUGCCGCGUGAAGGGCAGGGACCUAGGGGCGUUAAACUUCUGUUGUGCGGGAGCAAGAAUGGGCACGUGGGGCCAGACGAGAGUACCGUACGAAUAAGCAGCGGCUAACUCCGUGACAGCAGCCGCGGUAAGACGGGGGAUGCAAGCGUAAUCCGGAUUUAUGGGGUUUAAAGGGUGCGGAGGCUGUGAGGUAAGUCAGCGGGGAAAUGCCCCCGCUCAACGGGGUGAAGUGCCAUUGAUACUGCCUUGCUGUACUUCGGCUGCCGUGGGAGGAAUGUGUUUUGUAGCGGU
rnacentral:rRNA from 1 species